rnacentral:rRNA from 1 species
UAGGGAAUCUUCGGCAAUGGACGAAAGUCUGACCGAGCAACGCCGCGUGAGUGAAGAAGGUUUUCGGAUCGUAAAACUCUGUUGUUAGAGAAGAACAAGGACGUUAGUAACUGAACGUCCCCUGCCGGUAUCUAACCAGAAAGCCACGGCUAACUACGUGCCAGCAGCCGCGGUUAUACGUAGGUGGCUAGCGUUGUCCGGAUUUAUUGGGCGUAAAGCGAGCGCAGGCGGUUUCUUAAGUCUGAUGUGAAAGCCCCCGGCUCAACCGGGGAGGGUCAUUGGAAACUGGGAGACUUGAGUGCAGAAGAGGAGAGUGGAAUUCCAUGUGUAGCGGUGAAAUGCGUAGAUAUAUGGAGAAACACCAGUGGCGAAGGCGGCUCUCUGGUCUGUAACUGACGCUGAGGCUCGAAAGCGUGGGGAGCAAACAGG